CUCCCUUCCCCUUCUCUUACCCUCUCCUCUCCCCUCAUUUCCCUCUCUCUGUCCCCUCCUCCCUUCCCUUCUUCUUGCCUUCUCUCCCUCAUCUUCUUGCCUUUUCUCCCCUUCUCCUUGCCUUCUCCUUCCCCCUCUCCCCCUUUUCCCCUUCCUCCCCUCCAUCCCUAAAUUUCUCCCCAUCACUCCCCUCUUCCCCUCUCUCUCCCCCACUCUCCCUCCACUCUCUCUUUUUCUCUCCCCCUCCUCUCAUCCCCUCUCUCUCCCUCCCCUCUUUAAACUACUCCCUUAAUAAAGAGAGACAAUGAUGAUUAUUGGGUUGAACGGUUGUGCAGUGGUUAGCACAAUGCCUCACAGUACCACCAACCCUCCACUGUCUGUAAGACGGUUGUCCGUACUCCCCGUGGCUAUGUGGGUUUCCUCCGGGUGCUCCGGUUUCCUCUCAAAGAUGUUCCUGUUGGUAGGUUAAUCGGUUAUUGUAAAUUACCCCGUGAUUAGGCUCGGGUUAAUUGGGGAUUGCUGGUUGGGGCAGGUCGAAGGACCAGAAGGCCUAUUCCGCAUCGUACCUCUCGAUAAAUUCAAUCGCUUAUCUUUACUGUCAAAUGAAGCAGCGAAUGACUCCAUGUUCAGAAUGUUACAGGGUGCUCCCUCCUCACUCUCUGUAACCCUCAGCGUGACGUUCUCUCCUUACUACCUCAGUACCAUGACUCAAAACUGCCUCUGUCAAUCUUCUUGUAACCAUCCUCAUCAUGUGUGGGUGAGUUGGAGUCCGUUGGGCCGGCUGAAGAGAAUCCAAACCCAUGGGGUUUACCACCAGACCUGAAGCACCAACAGCCAUCAGUGAUGAAUAGCUCAGAGGAGAGCUGGUGCUCUUCCUUGUUCUGGGCAGCGGAUAUCGAUAGAAGUCUUUGUUGUUCUUUUGUUUCUCAGCUCAGGGACGGCUAUCCAAGGCGUCAGUCAUUUCAACGGCUUUGAAAGGGGCUCUGUUUCUUUUCACCUCAGUGGCUCUGAUCUGUUUCCUUAAGAACCGCAGGAAUACCAGGAAACCAACAGAAAAAGCAGAAAGGCCUGUGUCAGAGCAUUUGUAUGAAAUGGUCUUGAUGAGUCGCGGGGGAGUCAAGGUGGAAGAAUCAAUGAAAGCUCCACAAUAAUCCAGGUGAUCGUAUGUCUCCCAUUUCACAAUGCCGCCCUCUCCGUGAUGUCAGAACAACAAUCUUACACUCAGCCUCAGCAAGUCCAAGGAACUGACUGUGAACUUCAGGAAGGGGAAGUCGGGAGAACACACUCCAGUCCUCAUCCUGGGGUCAGCGGUGGAAAGGCUGAGCAGCUUCAAGUUCCUGGGCAUCAACAUCUCUGAGGAUCUGUUCUGGACCCAACAUGUUGAAGCAAUGAGGAAGGAGGUGACUACCGGCUCUAUUUCAUCCGGAGUCUGAGUACAUUACUCUGUGCAGCUACCCCAGGGGAGGGAUUGUGGAAGGAACUGUCAAUAUUUUGGGACUGACCGUGAAGGGGAGAGAGUAUUGAGGGUGAGUGGCAUGUUGGUGUAUUUGGUGGGAUGGUGGGAGAGGGUUUGGAUGAUAGGUGGAGUGAGCUGGAUAGGAGAGGGGGAGGCAAAUUCAAAGUCCGGAGGAAACUCAAGGAACACCACCUCAUAUUCUCCCCAUGCAUAUUCCAUCUACAGGUAACUCUAUCACCUUCCAAUCCCUCUCCCGUCCUAUUUUGUCCUCCUUCCCCUGACCCCCACAGCCUUCCUUCACCCAUCCACCCACCCGUUUCACUCCCUGACUCCGCUCCCUCCUCCCCAUCUAACACUGGUUCUGUUUGCCUUUCCCCUUCCCCCAAUGGUUCCCAUUAUCACCUUUAUUACUGAUCAGAUUCCAGCACCAGUGGAGAGAGUCUUGAAUGUUGCAGCUACUCUCAUGUUGUCUUGCAGAGAGUAUUCAAUUGCACUCCUGUGUCCGGUUGACAGUGGCUUUGGGAUCAGGAAGUGAGCGACUCACCACAGGGUAACAGUCCCUGACCAACCCCACCAUAUGUGGAUUGUCGAGAUGAGUGUCUGGUGAUCACCCCCAGAAUGUUCAGGGUAUGGUAAGUGAUGAUGACAUCGCCUUGAACAUCCUGAGGGGCGUUGAAUGUGGGGCCAUCACUGAUGCAAGGGGUAGCAGGUCAGACUCUCUCUGGUUGUAGGUGGUCAUUUCCUGGCAUCACUUUGGACAAAUGCCACUUGCCACCUGACAGUUUUGGGGAACACUCGGGUGCCAUCCCUGUCCCGAAUGGGGUUGAAUAUCUAGGAUGCUUGGAGCUCAACUCAUCUCUCUAUAGACCGAUGGGGUGAGUUCUAAUCCACCUUCAGAUUCUCCUGAAUGGGCCUUUUGUACAAAGAACAGAUCUCCGAAUGUUCCUCGCCAUGGCCCUUCACUUUAUUGUCUGCUUGCACUGCACUUUCUCAGCAGCUGUAGCAUUUAUUCUGCAUUCUGUAAUUGUUUUUUCUUUAAUACUACCUUGAUGUUCUGAUGUAUGGAAUGAUCUGAAUGGCUGGCAUGUAAACGAAGCUUUUCACUGUAUCCUUGUACAAUAAUAA